GGGGAUGUAGCUCAGUGGGAGAGCGCUUGCUUUGCAUGUAAGAGGCCCUGGGUUCAAACCCCAGCAUCUCCA